UACGGGGGGGGCAAGCGUUGUUCGGAAUUACUGGGCGUAAAGGGCUCGUAGGUGGCCAACUAAGUCAGACGUGAAAUCCCUCGGCUUAACCGGGGAACUGCGUCUGAUACUGGAUGGCUUGAGUUCGGGAGAGGGAUGCGGAAUUCCAGGUGUAGCGGUGAAAUGCGUAGAUAUCUGGAGGAACACCGGUGGCGAAGGCGGCAUCCUGGACCGGUAUUGACGCUGAGGCGCGAAAGCGUGGGGAGCAAACAGG
rnacentral:rRNA from 1 species